UAUGUACGUUGUUAGAGCUUGGAGUUGAGGCCGCUGGUGCCUGAUGAACUCACAAGUGUAGGUAGUGUGCUACACAAGGGGCAAGUUUUCGCAAAUAGCACAAGGGUCUCUGGCGCCAUGAGUGGAGUUUGAUAGUAAUCCUUGCAAGAAGU